rnacentral:rRNA from 1 species
GAUGAACGCUGGCGGCGUGCCUAACACAUGCAAGUCGAGCGAACCCUUCGGGGUGAGCGGCGGACGGGUGAGUAACGCGUGGGUAACCUGCCCUGUACACACGGAUAACAUACCGAAAGGUAUGCUAAUACGGGAUAACAUAUGAGAGUCGCAUGGCUUUUGUAUCAAAGCUCCGGCGGUACAGGAUGGACCCGCGUCUGAUUAGCUAGUUGGUAAGGUAACGGCUUACCAAGGCAACGAUAAGGAGCCGACCUGAGAGGGUGAUCGGCCACAUUGGAACUGAUACACGGUCCAAACUCCUACGGGAGGCAGCAGUGGGGAAUAUUGCACAAUGGGCGAAAGCCUGAUGCAGCAACGCCGCGUGAGCGAUGAAGGCCUUCGGGUCGUAAAGCUCUGUCCUCAAGGAAGAUAAUGACGGUACUUAAGGAGGAAGCCCCGGCUAACUACGUGCCAGCAGCCGCGGUAAUAC